rnacentral:rRNA from 1 species
GAGUUUGAUCAUGGCUCAGGACGAACGCUGGCGGCGUGCUUAACACAUGCAAGUCGAGCGAUGAAGCUUCCUUCGGGAAGUGGAUUAGCGGCGGACGGGUGAGUAACACGUGGGCAACCUGCCUCAAAGAGGGGAAUAGCCCUCCGAAAGGAGGAUUAAUACCGCAUAAAGUUAGAGUUUCGCAUGAAACUUUAACCAAAGGAGUAAUCCGCUUUGAGAUGGGCCCGCGUCCCAUUAGCUAGUUGGUAGGGUAAUGGCUUACCAAGGCAACGAUGGGUAGCCGACCUGAGAGGGUGAUCGGCCACAUUGGAACUGAGACACGGUCCAGACUCCUACGGGAGGCAGCAGUGGGGAAUAUUGCGCAAUGGGGGAAACCCUGACGCAGCAACGCCGCGUGGGUGAUGAAGGUUUUCGGAUCGUAAAACCCUGUUUUCUGGGACGAUAAUGACGGUACCAGAUGAGGAAGCCACGGCUAACUACGUGCCAGCAGCCGCGGUAAUAC